rnacentral:lncRNA from 1 species
CGAAAUAAACUUCUCGGAAACAUACAUGUUUUGAUCAAAAUUUAAAAUAAAAAUUGACUGGUUAAAAGGGACAGGCGGAUAAAAAUGCUAUCGGAAAAGUAUCAAAAAAAUUGAAACGAGCACACCAGGCUGAACUACGUGAACCAUAGAUCAAUAAAACUGACGUCUGAAAGCUCCAUUUUGAAAUUUUUCGCCCGCUAAUCUGACGUACAGUUGAGAAACGAUUUCACCGGUCUGUCUAUAG